GUGUCAGCCGCCGCGGUAAUACGGAGGGUGCUAGCGUUGUUCGGAAUUAUUGGGCGUAAAGCGCGUGUAGGCGGUCGAGUAAGUCAGAUGUGAAAGCCUUCCGCUUAACGGAAGAAGUGCAUUUGAAACUGCUCGACUGGAGUACGGGAGAGGAGAGUGGAAUUCCCGGUGUAGAGGUGAAAUUCGUAGAUAUCGGGAGGAACACCAGUGGCGAAGGCGGCUCUCUGGUCCGAUACUGACGCUGAGACGCGAAAGCGUGGGGAGCAAACAGGAUUAGAUACCCUGGUAGUCCACGCCGUAAACGAUGGGCACUAGGUGUAGGAGGUAUUGACCCCUUCUGUGCCGAAGCUAACGCAUUAAGUGCCCCGCCUGGGGAGUACGGCCGCAAGGCUAAAACUCAAAUGAAUUGACGGGG
rnacentral:rRNA from 1 species